rnacentral:rRNA from 1 species
GACGAACGCUGGCGGCGUGCCUAAUACAUGCAAGUUGAGCGCUGAAGGUUGGUACUUGUACCAACUGGAUGAGCAGCGAACGGGUGAGUAACGCGUGGGGAAUCUGCCUUUGAGCGGGGGACAACAUUUGGAAACGAAUGCUAAUACCGCAUAAAAACUUUAAACACAAGUUUUAAGUUUGAAAGAUGCAAUUGCAUCACUCAAAGAUGAUCCCGCGUUGUAUUAGCUAGUUGGUGAGGUAAAGGCACACCAAGGCGAUGAUACAUAGCCGACCUGAGAGGGUGAUCGGCCACAUUGGGACUGAGACACGGCCCAAGCUCCUACGGGAGGCAGCAGUAGGGAAUCUUCGGCAAUGGACGAAAGUCUGGCCGAGCAACGCCGCGUGAGUGAAGAAGGUUUUCGGAUCGUAAAACUCUGUUGGUAGAGAAGAACGUUGGUGAGAGUGGAAAGCUCAUCAAGUGACGGUAACUACCCAGAAAGGGACGGCUAACUACGUG